CGUUUUUGAUAUUUUGGUUACAACAGACAAGAAGGACUUUGUUAACUUUUGUAUCUAUAAUAAUUCUGGAGCUAUGAUUUUUUUUGGUAAUCACAAAAAUUUUUAAAUAUAAUAAAGAUAAAUAUUAUAUUAUGUGAAGAUUAAUUAAAAAUUUUCUAUUUUCAGUUGACCUAAAAUAUUUAUAUUUACCUAAUAUUCAUAUUUAAUUCCUUUUAGAAUUUUUAUAGUCCACAUGUAUAACUUGUCAUGCUACGACACAUGAAUUAUUAAGGGAUAAAAUAUUCUGUAAUGAAUUUCACUUGUUUUCUCAAGUUCAAUAAGUUACAAAACAUGAUACACAACUGACAUGUGAGGCAAACAAAAAGUAAUGAGGAAAUCUAAAUGACAAACAAACUUGAGAGAUAGUGAGUUUUGUAGUGUUUUUGUUUUUAUUUACAAGAUUUUUUUUUUGUAAAUAGCACUCUGUGAUUUGAUAUGUAAUUUAUAAAUGUAAAUAUUUUUUUUUUUGAAUUAUCAA